GGUAAAGUUCUAAAUUACAUAACUGGUACGUCAUCUAUGCAAAAUUGCCCAAUUUGUAAAGCCACUCCAAAUGUAAUGACAAGCCUAGAGGAGUUUGAAAAAGGAUAUACACCAGAGAUAGGGACACUUAUUUAUGGAAUAUCUCCAUUACAUGCAUGGAUGCGAUUUUUCGAGUGCCUUCUUCACAUAUCUUACCGAAUGGAUUUUAAAAAGUGGCAGGUAUCAAAGAUAUUAAAGGAAGCGUACUUGAAGAGAAAACAACUUAUACAGAAAAGGCUUUAUGAUAGCUUUGGUGUGAGAGUCGACCAGCCAAGGCAAGGUGGAGCAGGAUCAAGUACAACUGGAAACAUUUUUCGACGAGCGUUUUCGAAUCCAAAUCUGUUAAGUGAAGCAUUAAAUGUCAACGAAGAGCUAAUUCACCGGUUCUGGAACAUUCUGAUCG